CCCCACUGCACUAAAAAGCCGUAAUUACACAGAGAUAAUGUGAGCUUGGCAGCAUCUCCUAUGGCAGUCUAUGGCUUUGAGUGAAGUUUGAUGUCCAGGUUGCUGGUCACUGCAGGCUGAGCCAACACACAGUUCAACAGAAAGAAAAAAACAAGCAUGCUCCCCAUCUCUUCCUCGUUACAAGGAAGCAGUCUUUAAACUGAGACCUUUGGAACUAGCAUUAAGCAGUAAACCAAAGCCAAAGAUCAUUCAGGAUGUUUGUAAUAAGGACAAGCAAGAGAGGAAGAGUAUACUCUACUUUGGCAAAGUUCUUACUGUGAGCACCCUCAUGAGGAGAUACUAAAAAAUAAAUAACUCCAAAGGGGAAAAAAAUAAAAAAUA
rnacentral:lncRNA from 1 species